GGAGAGGUGACCGAGUGGCUGAAGGUGCACGCCUGGAAAGCGUGUUUACAAGAAAUUGUAACAAGGGUUCGAAUCCCUUUCUCUCCGCCA
rnacentral:tRNA from 1 species